rnacentral:rRNA from 1 species
AGAGUUUGAUCCUGGCUCAGGACGAACGCUGGCGGCGUGCCUAACACAUGCAAGUCGAGCGGAGAACACCAGAUGUUUACAUCGAAGUGUUCUUAGCGGCGGACGGGUGAGUAACGCGUGAACAAUCUGCCCUAUACAAAGGAAUAGCCUCGGGAAACUGGGAUUAAAACCGUAUAACACUUAAGCAUCGCAUGAUACAUAAGUCAAAUUGAUUAAGAGGUAUAGGAUGAGUUCGCGUCUGAUUAGCUAGUUGGUGAGGUAAUGGCUCACCAAGGCGACGAUCAGUAGCCGGCCUGAGAGGGUGAACGGCCACACUGGAACUGAGACACGGUCCAGACUCCUACGGGAGGCAGCAGUGGGGAAUAUUGCACAAUGGGCGAAAGCCUGAUGCAGCGACGCCGCGUGAGUGAAGAAGGUCUUCGGAUCGUAAAACUCUGUCCUUGGUGAAGAAAAAAAUGACGGUAGCCAAGGAGGAAGCCCCGGCUAACUACGUGCCAGCAGCCGCGGUAAUACGUAGGGGGCGAGCGUUGUCCGGAUUUACUGGGCGUAAAGGGUGAGUAGGCGGUUGUAUAUGUCAGAUGUAAAAGGCUAUGGCUUAACUAUAGUAAGCAUUUGAAACUGUACAACUUGAGUGCAGGAGAGGUAAGUGGAAUUCCUAGUGUAGCGGUGAAAUGCGUAGAUAUUAGGAGGAACACCAGUG